ensembl:lncRNA
AUAAUUAAUAAGACAGCUCAGCUGAAAUGGCGAGGAGACGGGGCCCUAUUGAUCUGGCAGUCGAGCUGCUUCCACCUCUCCUAUUUAUAGGCUCCGCAUGGCCUCACGGAGGAGUAAACAUUCGAGAGUAAACACGAGCGGAAGAGGCCGGGGUCCAAGCUGCAGAACUGGAGCCGGCUGGGGAGGGAGAACCGAACGAGAGGAACAGCAUCUCCUAGGGGCCCUUCCUUGAGGUUGGGGCCGGAGCAGCCCCGAAACCGAACGCCCGAAUAAGGAAACCGUGCCAGCCCCGCCCAUCCCGGCUUCGACAAUCUCCCCACUCCAGCCCCACCGGGCGAGCAGGAAUGUAACAUUCCUGUCCAGAUUCUUGCCCUGGAAGGACAUCCCCUUUAGAGUGAGCACUCAGGAGCCAGAAGACCUCCAUUACCAGCUGCGUAACCAUGGUAGGUAGCCUGGCUGCUCUCUGGAAGGUGCCUUUCCGGCACCUGCAUUGGUUCUCGGGGCCAAGAUCGCUACCACAGCGCCCCGCCCUCCCGACUGGCGGGGAAGGGCGGGCUAGACUUUGGAUCUCCCUCUGCCGGGCAGCGGCAAGGACAGCGCAAGCAGCGACUUUUAUGCAAAGUCAGGUGUAAUUAGUUCUGGAAAACCUUGACUCUCGCUCCUUAAUCUAAUCCACACGCCUGGGGGAGCCAGGGCCUGGGUGCUGCGGGGGCGCUGAGUGAGUGACCGUGGGCGAGCGGAGAUGGGGCUCCGUUACCAGUCCCCCCGACCGCCACCACCGCCACCGCCACUUCCAUCCGGGAGCUCCCUGCAGCCACAAUGGCUCUGCUCCUGAGUCAGUACCAAGGCGACGACCCCCUGGCCUGAGAAGGAAGGAAGGAGGCAGCAAAGGAAAAGAAAAUCGCACCUUGAUGGAAGGGCAGCGAAGGUGACAGCUGAGCUUUUGUUUUCCCUGCCCAGGGAGACCAAGAGGCUUCCACAGGCGGCACCAACUCAGGGAGCCAGGAGGAGGACGGAACCAUCUGUGCGGGACUCGGUGCACAGAGAUUGAUUAUACUACUCUCUCCCUUCUUUCUCCCCCUCCCCCUCUUUGCUCUGCCUAACUUUUUAAAAAGUUAACUUACCUUUAUUGAGCGCUUACUACAUGCUAGACAUCAUACUAAAGCUUCUGAACAUCAUCUCAUUUCCUGCGCUCAUUUCUGUAGAUUGUAUUAUCCUCAUUACAGAUGAGAAAAGGUGUAGAGAGAGGAUAGAAACCUGCCCCUAGCAGCAGGUGGUAAGAGGCCCAGCUGAAAUGUGAGCACGAAUCUGUUUUAAGACUUCACUUUGCUUGUUCUGUUACUAUUUGGAGCCAAAAGAGAGACAGCACAAGUUAAAAAAGACAACAAAGAAACUCAGGUCCUAUGGUGGGCAGAAUAAUGGCCUCACAAGAUGUCAUGUUCUAACCCCCGGAAACUGCAAAUAUGUCAGUUAUAGGGCAAAAGGGAGUUAAGGCUGCAGGUGGAAUUAGGAUGCUAAUGGGCUGACUGUAAAAUAAGAUUAUUCUGGAUCACCCCUGAGGGCCCAGUGUAAUGACAAGAGUCCUUAGAAGUGGAAGAGGGAGGCAGAAGAGAGAGGUCCGAGUCAGGGGAUGUGAGAAGGGCUGGACCCACUUCUUUGGCUUUGAAGAUGGAGCAAAGAGUCCACAAGCCAAGGAAUUCAGGCAGCCUCUAGAAACUGGUAAAGGCGAGGAAACCAGAUUCUUCCCUGGAGCCUUCAGAAAGGAACGGCCCAGCCAUUUCAGCCCAGUGAAGCUCGUGUCAGACUUCUGACCUACAGCACUAACUCGAAGAUAAGAAAUUUGCAUUGUUUAAGCCACCAAGUUUGUAGCAACUUGUUACAGUUGCAAAUAGAAAAAUAAUACAAACCCUUAUUAUGGCUGAGGGCUACAUUACAGAUACUCAGAGAGCCAGGAUCUUCAGGAAGUUUGUUGAGUCUGCUCAGGGCCCUUCUUUGAGUGUCGUGUCGUGUGUGUGUGUGUGUGUGUGUGUGUGUGUGU